CGAACCGCAGCACAGCUGUAGGGCGGCUGGCGUCCCUGAGCAUGACUCUCCUUUGGAUGUUCCCUGCUUAUUUUAGUUAAGAAGAGCAUCACGAGACUGUGACGCCCUCUUAGCUGGACUCAGGUGACGUCCGCCUCUUGAAGCAGUGAACUGAUGCGUCUGACUUUGGGCUUUGCAGCUGGGGUGUAUGGGUGACCCUGCUUGCUUCAAUGACAUCCCCCAGCAAGCCGUGGAUGUGCUCAUUUAAUCCAGCAGUGUUUGCUGAGCAUACCAUCUGUGCCAGGCACUAGGCCAAAGGCUGGCAAACAGCGCACAGGCUUGCCCACGAAGCCCCACGGUCGCGCCACCGCCAUCCUGGUCCUCUCUACACCACGCAGCUCAUACCCCACAGCGACACCAGCUUCCUGGCAGAGGCCUGUCCUGGCCACAGAGAGUCCCACUCAGGGGUCUGAAAAGAGAGGCACGGUCCCGCAUGUACUGAUUCAAAAACACAGAAGACAAGGAAGCAUCAGGUUUGUGGCUGUUGUCAUUUCCUCCUGGAAAUUCGCCCGGAAUGAUAAGUCCCAGUUCGGGUACCUACAGGUCGGGCUCUGGAGCACACCCCCGCCCCCAGGCAAACAGAGAAGCUAAGUAAAGACCAGCUCAGGCCUCUCCCCCUGCAAAGCCCGCCUUGCUGUUGCCAAUGGAAGUAGAAAACACGAAAAAAGCUCUGGAGAAGAAACUGAACAUCAAAACAGCCUGUCUUAGACUCCCAACUGUGCAAGCGGAGUGCUAUUGUAGAGAGAUUUAACUGUGGUUCCCGGACCACAGUUAAAUUCAAGGCUGGUGCUUUUGAGUGCAAGGGAUGGAGCCCGGGGCCCUGUGCAAGCAUGCUUGGCCAGCCUUCUACCACUGAGCUUCGUGUCCAGCCCUGUUAUUGAGGCAUACUAUCUACUCAAGAAGGCCCACAGGUCUGCAAGUUCAGCUCGAGGGCUCUGCGGUGCUCAACCAGCACAAACAUCUCACAG